UAAUUUGGUAACUAUCAAAAUUAAAAUGGAACAAUACAGAGAAGAUUAGCAUGGUCCCUGUACAAGCAUGACAUGCAAAUUAGUGAAGUGUUUCAUAGUUUU